rfam:Schistosoma margrebowiei strain Zambia genome assembly, scaffold: SMRZ_contig0001527
GCACUGCUGAGGAGUCCCAUACCAGGACGGAACGGCCGUCGAGUGC